rnacentral:lncRNA from 1 species
CCAGACAUAGAAGCAAUAAUUUGAGAACUAUCUGGUAAACUAACAUGGACUGGAAUUAUGUGUUUAUAUGAUUCAAAGGAAGCUAAGUCAUAGGCAAUAUGGUCUGUUGCACCAGUAUCAAAUAUCCAUAGAUUAUGGUUCUUACCAUGAUCAUUGUAAGCAUGAGAAUUUAGGCCAAAUGGGGAUGAGGAUAUGGAGUUGGCUUGAGGUGUGAGUUGGGACUGUUGGAUUAAG